UAGGGAAUCUUCGGCAAUGGGGGGCACCCUGACCGAGCAACGCCGCGUGAGUGAAGAAGGUUUUCGGAUCGUAAAGCUCUGUUGUUAAGGAAGAACGAGUGUGAGAAUGGAAAGUUCAUACUGUGACGGUACUUAACCAGAAAGGGACGGCUAACUACGUGCCAGCAGCCGCGGUAAUAAGUAGGUCCCGAGCGUUGUCCGGAUUUAUUGGGCGUAAAGCGAGCGCAGGCGGUUAGAUAAGUCUGAAGUUAAAGGCAGUGGCUCAACCAUUGUAGGCUUUGAAAACUGGUUAACUUGAGUGCAGAAGGAGAGAGUGGAAUUCCAUGUGUAGCGGUGAAAUGCGUAGAUAUAUGGAGGAACACCGGUGGCGAAAGCGGCUCUCUGGUCUGUUACUGACGCUGAGGCUCGAAAGCGUGGGGAGCGAACAGG
rnacentral:rRNA from 1 species